CUCUUGGUGAUUUUGGGGUUCAGAAUUUGGGCACAACAUUUGGGGGCUCAUCCGGGAUCCCCAGAGUCCACCA
rnacentral:miRNA from 1 species